CUUCUAGAUGCUGCCCUCGGCAAAUGGACGUCUCUCUCUCUUUCUCCGAGGGACAUGGAUCCCUCAUCUCAGUCACUCUCACUUGGUCAUGAACAUCUCUAGAUUGCUCUGCCACUCAACAGGAUUUCAAAUAAGCAUUCUGUAAUGGAAGUGACGAUGAUGGAAAUGACGAUGAUGGAAAUUACAGUGAUGGAAAUGACGAAGAUGGAAAUGACGGUGAUGGAAAUGACGAAGAUGGAAAUGAUGGUGAUGGAAAUGAUGGUGACGGAAAUGAAGAAGUCAGAAAUGAAGAAGAAGAAAAUGACGGUGAUAGAAAUAACGAAGAUGGAAAUGACGGUGAUGGAAAUGAUGGUGAUGGAAAUGACGGUGAUGGAAAUGAUGAAAAUGGAAAUGACGAAGAUGGAAAUGACGAAGAUGGAAAUGAUGGUGAUGACAAUGACGGUGAUGGAAAUGACGAAGUCUGAAAUGACAAAGAUGGAAAUGACAGUGAUGGAAAUGACAAUGACGGAAUUUUUUUUUUUUUUUUUUUUU